CAGAACGAACGCUGGCGGCGCGUCUUAAGCAUGCAAGUCGAGCGGGAAGUAGUAGCUUGCUAUACUGAGAGCGGCGGACUGGUGAGUAACGCGUGGGUGACGUACCCUGAGGAUGGGGAUAGCUCCUAGAAAUAGGAGGUAAUACCGAAUACGGUGUGAGCUGUUAGAGAGCUUACAUCAAAGGUUCUUUUGAACCGCCACAGGAGCGGCCCGCGUACUAUUAGCUAGUUGGUGAGGUAACGGCCCACCAAGGCGACGAUAGUUACCCGGCCUGAGAGGGUGAACGGCACAUUGGGACUGAGAUACGGCCCAGACUCCUACGGGAGGCAGCAGCUAAGAAUAUUCCGCAAUGGAGGAAACUCUGACGGAGCGACGCCGCGUGGACGAUGAAGGCCCGGAAGGUUGUAAAGUCCUUUUAGAUAUGAGGAAUAAGCAGUGUGAGAGAAACGCACUGUGGUGACUGUAGUAUCAGAAUAAGGGGCGGCUAAUUACGUGCCAGCAGCGGC
rnacentral:rRNA from 1 species